GAUUGGGUAGGGGAGCGUUCGCUGCGGGCUGAAGGUGUGUCGGAAGGCAUGCUGGACUGCAGUGAAGUGAUUAUGCUGACAUGAGUAACGAUAAAAUAUGUGAAAAACAUAUUCGCCGAAAACCCGAGGUUUCCUGGGUAAAGGUAAUCUUCCCAGGGUUAGUCGGAUCCUAAGGUGAGGGUGAAAGCCGUAACCGAUGGAAAACAGGUUAAUAUUCCUGUACUUGUUGUGUAGCGCGAUGGAGGGACGCAGGAAGAUAGGCGGGCCGGGUGUUGGAUAUCCCGGUGCAAGCGUGUAGGAAUAUCCGGUAGGCAAAUCCGCCGGACGAAUCUGAGACGCGAGUCCGUGGGCGCAAGCCCUGAAGCCGUUGAGUCUAUGCUGCCUAGAAAAGCUCCUAAGUUUAUCCACAGCAAUCCGUACCGCAAACCAACUCAGGUGGGUGGGAUGAACAAUCCAAGGCGCUCGAGAGAACUCUGGCCAAGGAACUCGGCAAAAUAACCCCGUAACUUCGGAAGAAGGGGUGCUCUCUAGGGUGACAUGUUUAACAUAUGAAGCCCCGGGGAGCCGCAGUGAAUUGGUGGUGGCGACUGUUUACUAAAAACAUAGGUCUGUGCGAAGUCCUAAAGACGACGUAUACGGACUGACGCCUGCCCGGUGCUGGAAGGUUAAAAGGAGGGGUCAGCGCAAGCAAAGCUCCGAAUUGAAGCCCCAGUAAACGGCGGCCGUAACUAUAACGGUCCUAAGGUAGCGAAAUUCCUUGUCGGGUAAGUUCCGACCUGCACGAAUGGCGUAACGAUCUCCACACUGUCUCGGCCAGAGACUCGGUGAAAUUGCAGUCGCGGUGAAAAUUCCGUGUACCCGCAGAAAGACGGAAAGACCCUGUGCACCUUUACUAUAGCUUGACAUUGGAUUUUGGGCCUGCAUGUGUAGGAUAGGUGGGAGGCUGUGAACCCUGUACGCCAGUAUGGGGGGAGCCAUCCUUGAAAUACCACCCUUGCAUGUUUAAGAUCCUAACUUCUUCCGGUUAUCCCGGAGAAAGACAGUGUCUGGCGGGUAGUUUGACUGGGGCGGUCGCCUCCUAAAGUGUAACGGAGGCAUGCAAAGGUUCCCUCAGCCUGAUCGGAAACCAGGCGCUGAGUGCAAACGCAUAAGGGAGCUUGACUGUAAGAGAGACAUCUCGAACAGGAACGAAAGUUGGCGUUAGUGAUCCGGUGGUCCCGAAUGGAAGGGCCAUCGCUCAUUGGAUAAAAGGUACGCCGGGGAUAACAGGCUGAUCGCAUCCAAGAGUUCACAUCGACGAU
rnacentral:rRNA from 1 species